rnacentral:rRNA from 1 species
GACAGAGGGUGCAAACGUUGCUCGGAAUCACUGGGCGUAAAGGGCGUGUAGGCGGGAAGGAAAGUCAGAUGUGAAAUCCCCAGGCUCAACCUGGGAACUGCAUUUGAAACUCCCUUCUUGAGUACCGGAGAGGAAAGUGGAAUUCCUGGUGUAGAGGUGAAAUUCGUAGAUAUUCGCAAGAACACCAGUGGCGAAGGCGGCUCACUGGCCCGGUACUGACGCUGAGGUGCGAAAGCGUGGGGAGCAAACAGG